rnacentral:rRNA from 1 species
AAGCGCUCGUGACCAGACUUGCGCUCAGCGGAUCAUCCAGCGUUCUCGCUGGUGCACUCCGCUGUGCUCAGGCCAGCAUCGGUUUUUCUGGGGGGAUAAAAGCUUCGGGAACGUGGCUCCUCCGGGAGUGUUAUAGCCCGUUGCACAAUGCCUUCAGAGGGACCGAGGUUCGCGCUCUGCAAGGAUGCUGGCGUAAUGGUUACCGGCGA